GCUUCCGACAGCAAGGAGCCGGACAAUCAGGUCGGCUAUGAGUUUACCCUGAGCACCACGUUGAGCGCUUUGGCCGGCGCCAACAUCAUAUUCGGAUCAG
rfam:Spirochaeta sp. JC202, whole genome shotgun sequence.